UGGGGAAUAUUGCACAAUGGGCGAAAGCCUGAUGCAGCGACGCCGCGUGCGGGAUGAAGGCCUUCGGGUUGUAAACCGCUUUUAAUUGGGAGCAAGCGAGAGUGAGUGUACCUUUUGAAUAAGCACCGGCUAACUACGUGCCAGCAGCCGCGGUAAUACGUAGGGUGCAAGCGUUAUCCGGAAUUAUUGGGCGUAAAGAGCUCGUAGGCGGUUUGUCACGCCUGGUGUGAAAGUCCAUCGCUUAACGGUGGAUCUGCGCCGGGUACGGGCAGGCUAGAGUGCAGUAGGGGAGAUUGGAAUUCCCGGUGUAACGGUGGAAUGUGUAGAUAUCGGGAAGAACACCAAUGGCGAAGGCAGAUCUCUGGGCUGUUACUGACGCUGAGGAGCGAAAGCAUGGGGAGCGAACAGGAUUAGAUACCCUGGUAGUCCAUGCCGUAAACGGUGGAUGCUGGAUGUGGGACCCUUCCACGGGUUCCGUGUCGGAGCUAACGCGUUAAGCAUCCCCGCCUGGGGAGUACGGCCGCAAGGC
rnacentral:rRNA from 1 species